UACGUAGGUGGCGAGCGUUGUCCGGAUUUACUGGGCGUAAAGAGCGCGCAGGCGGCUGGUCAAGUCCGAUGUGAAAGCUCCCGGCUUAACUGGGAAAUUGCAUCGGAAACUGAUCGGCUGGAAGGUGGGAGAGGGUAGCGGAAUUCCCGGUGUAGUGGUGAAAUGCGUAGAGAUCGGGAGGAAGGCCGGUGGCGAAGGCGGCGCUCUGGAACAUUUCUGACGCUGAGGCUCGAAAGCGUGGGGAGCAAACAGG
rnacentral:rRNA from 1 species